rnacentral:rRNA from 1 species
AUUGAACGCUGGCGGCAGGCUUAACACAUGCAAGUCGAACGAGUGGCGGACGGGUGAGUAAUGCUUGGGAAUCUAGCUUAUGGAGGGGGAUAACUACGGGAAACUGUAGCUAAUACCGCGUACCAAAGGAUGAGCCCAAGUGGGAUUAGGUAGUUGGUGAGGUAAAGGCUCACCAAGCCGACGAUCUCUAGCUGGUCUGAGAGGAUGAACAGCCAAAUGGGGAAUGAGACACGGCCCAGACUCCGCAGUGAGGCAGCAGUGGGGAAUAUUGCGCAAUGGGGGCAACCUGACGCAGCCAUGCCGCGUGAAUGAAGAAGGCCUUCGGGUUGUAAAGUUCUUUCGGUAGCGAGGCGGUAACUACAGAAGAAGCACCGGCUAACUCCGUGCCAGCAGCCGCGGUAAUUC